CAGCCGCCACGGGAAUACGGAGGGUGCAAGCGUUAAUCGGAAUUACCGGGCGUAAAGCGAGCGUAGGCGGUUCGUUAAGUCUGUUGUGAAAGCCCCGGGCUCAACCUGGGAAUGGCAAUGGAUACUGGCGAGCUAGAGUGUGUCAGAGGAUGGUGGAAUUCCCGGUGUAGCGGUGAAAUGCGUAGAGAUCGGGAGGAACAUCAGUGGCGAAGGCGGCCAUCUGGGACAACACUGACGCUGAGGCACGAAAGCGUGGGGAGCAAACAGGAUUAGAUACCCGCGUAGUCCCUGUCUCUUAUAC
rnacentral:rRNA from 1 species